CUUCCGGCGCCUCUCGCAGAGCCGUCAUGGCUUCCACGGGGGCGAGUCGCAGUCUUGCUGCGUCUCCGCGGCCGCCGCAGGGCCGCUCCUCGCGACAGGACAAGUACUCGGUGCUGUUGCCCACCUACAACGAACGGGAGAACCUGCCGCUCAUCGUGUGGCUGCUGGUGAAGAGCUUCUCCGAGAGUGCAAUCAACUAUGAAAUUAUAAUCAUAGAUGAUGGAAGCCCAGACGGGACAAGAGAAGUUGCUGAACAACUGGCAGAGAUCUAUGGGCCCGACAGAAUUCUCCUAAGACCACGAGAGAAAAAGCUGGGUCUCGGAACUGCCUACAUUCAUGGAAUCAAACACGCCACGGGGAACUAUGUGAUCAUCAUGGAUGCUGACCUCUCCCACCAUCCCAAAUUUAUUCCUGAAUUUAUCAGGAAACAAAAGGAGGGUAAUUUUGAUAUUGUCUCUGGAACUCGAUACAAGGGGAAUGGGGGUGUUUAUGGAUGGGAUUUGAAAAGAAAGAUAAUCAGCCGUGGGGCCAAUUUUAUAACUCAAAUUCUGCUGAGACCUGGAGCGUCAGACUUAACAGGAAGCUUCAGAUUAUACCGAAAAGAAGUUCUACAGAAAUUAAUAGAAAAAUGUGUCUCCAAAGGCUAUGUCUUUCAGAUGGAAAUGAUUGUUCGAGCAAGACAGAUGAAUUACACUAUUGGUGAGGUUCCAAUUUCAUUUGUGGAUCGAGUUUAUGGUGAAUCCAAGUUGGGAGGAAAUGAAAUAGUCUCGUUCCUGAAAGGGUUAUUGACUCUCUUUGCUACCACAUAAAAGAAAUGAUUCACUUAUGCUUCCCGUGUUCAUUUCAAUUAAAAGUAGAGAAGCCCGGGUCACUGAUUUUUAUCAAUGUUGUCUUAACACAUGAGCCAAAGAAACUAUGUUCCAACUUCCUGUCAACAAUCUUGGCAGUUUAAGAAAAGCCCGGAAAACUGUGAAAAAAAUACUUAGUGACAUUGGGUUGGAAUACUGUAAAGAACAUAUAGAAGAUUUUAAACAGUUUGAACCUAAUGACUUUUAUUUGAAAAACACUACAUGGGAGGAUGUAGGACUGUGGGACCCUUCUCUUACGAAAAAUCAGGACUAUCGGACAAAACCUUUUUGCUGCAGUGCUUGUCCGUUUUCCUCAAAAUUCUUCUCUGCCUACAAAAGUCAUUUCCGGAAUGUCCAUAGUGAAGACUUUGAAAAUAGGAUUCUCCUUAACUGCCCUUACUGUACCUUCAAUGCAGAUAAAAAGACUUUGGAAACACACAUUAAAAUAUUUCAUGCUCCAAACUCCAGCGCACCAAGUAGCAGCCUCAGCACUUUCAAAGAUAAAAACAAAAACGAUGGCCUUAAACCUAAGCAGGCUGACAAUGUAGAGCAAGCCGUGUAUUACUGCAAGAAGUGCACUUACCGAGACCCUCUCUACGAGAUCGUCAGGAAGCACAUCUACAGGGAACAUUUUCAACACGUGGCAGCACCCUACAUAGCAAAAGCAGGAGAAAAAUCACUCAAUGGUGCAGUCUCCCUGGGCACAAAUGCCCGAGAGGAGUGUAACAUCCACUGCAAGCGAUGCCUUUUCAUGCCCAAGUCCUAUGAAGCUUUGGUACAGCAUGUCAUUGAGGACCAUGAACGGAUAGGCUAUCAGGUCACUGCCAUGAUCGGACACACAAAUGUUGUAGUUCCCCGAGCCAAGCCCUUGAUGCUGAUAGCUCCCAAACCUCAAGACAAAAAGGGCAUGGGACUCCCACCACGAAUCAGCUCCCUUGCUUCUGGAAAUGUCCGGUCGUUGCCAUCACAGCAGAUGGUAAACCGAUUGUCAAUACCAAAGCCCAACUUAAAUUCAACGGGAGUCAACAUGAUGUCCAAUGUUCACCUGCAGCAAAACAACUAUGGAGUCAAAUCUGUGGGCCAGAGCUAUGGUGUUGGCCAGUCAGUGAGGCUGGGACUAGGUGGCAAUGCUCCAGUUUCCAUCCCUCAACAGUCUCAGUCCGUGAAACAGUUACUUCCAAGUGGGAAUGGGAGGUCUUUUGGGCUAGGUGCUGAGCAGAGGCCCCCAGCAGCAGCCAGGUACUCCCUGCAGACUGCCAACACCUCUCUACCCCCAGGCCAAGUGAAGUCUCCCUCUGUGUCUCAGUCACAGGCAUCUAGAGUAUUAGGUCAGUCCAGUUCUAAACCUCCACCAGCCGCCACAGGCCCUCCUCCAAGCAACCACUGUGCCACUCAGAAGUGGAAAAUCUGUACAAUCUGUAACGAGCUUUUCCCUGAGAAUGUCUAUAGCGUUCACUUCGAAAAGGAGCAUAAAGCUGAGAAAGUCCCAGCCGUAGCUAACUACAUUAUGAAAAUACACAAUUUUACUAGCAAAUGCCUCUACUGUAAUCGCUAUUUGCCUACAGAUACCCUACUCAACCAUAUGUUAAUUCAUGGUCUGUCUUGUCCGUAUUGCCGUUCCACCUUCAAUGAUGUAGAGAAGAUGGCAGCACACAUGCGAAUGGUUCAUAUUGAUGAAGAGAUGGGGCCUAAAACGGAUUCUACUUUGAGCUUUGAUUUGACAUUGCAACAGGGCAGUCACACCAACAUUCAUCUCCUGGUGACCACAUACAACCUGAGGGAUGCCCCGGCUGAAUCAGUUGCUUACCAUGCCCAAAAUAAUGCCCCAGUUCCUCCAAAGCCACAACCAAAAGUUCAGGAAAAAGCAGAUGUCCCGGUUAAAAGUUCACCUCAAGCUGCAGUGCCCUAUAAAAAAGAUGUUGGGAAGACCCUUUGCCCUCUUUGCUUUUCAAUACUAAAAGGACCCAUAUCUGAUGCACUUGCACAUCAUUUACGAGAAAGACACCAAGUUAUUCAGACAGUUCAUCCGGUUGAGAAAAAGCUAACUUACAAAUGUAUCCAUUGCCUUGGUGUGUAUACUAGCAACAUGACAGCCUCAACCAUCACUCUGCAUCUAGUCCACUGCAGGGGUGUUGGAAAAACCCAGAAUGGCCAGGACAAGACAAACGCACCUUCUCGGCUCAAUCAGUCUCCAGGCCUGGCCCCUGUGAAGCGCACGUAUGAGCAGAUGGAGUUUCCACUGCUAAAAAAGCGGAAGCUGGAGGAGGAUGCUGAUUCCCCUAGCUGCUUUGAAGAGAAGCCAGAAGAGCCUGUUGUUUUAGCUUUAGACCCCAAGGGUCAUGAAGAUGAUUCUUAUGAGGCUAGGAAAAGCUUUCUCACAAAGUACUUCAACAAACAGCCCUAUCCCACCAGGAGAGAAAUUGAGAAGUUAGCUGCCAGUCUAUGGCUAUGGAAGAGUGACAUUGCCUCCCAUUUCAGUAACAAGAGGAAGAAGUGUGUCCGCGACUGUGAAAAGUACAAGCCUGGUGUGCUGCUAGGUUUUAACAUGAAAGAAUUAAAUAAAGUCAAACACGAGAUGGAUUUUGAUGCUGAGUGGCUGUUUGAAAAUCACGAUGAGAAAGACUCAAGAGUCAAUGCUAGCAAGACUGUUGACAAAAAGCAUAACCUUGGGAAAGAAGAUGAUAGCUUCUCAGAUAGUUUUGAACAUUUGGAAGAAGAAUCCAAUGGAAGCGGGAGUCCUUUUGACCCUGUCUUUGAAGUUGAGCCUAAAAUUCCCAGUGAUAAUUUAGAGGAGCCUGUACCGAAGGUUAUUCCGGAAGGUGCUUUGGAAUCUGAGAAGCUAGACCAAAAAGAGGAGGAGGAGGAGGAGGAGGAGGAGGAUGGUUCAAAAUAUGAAACUAUCCAUUUGACUGAGGAACCAGCCAAAUUAAUGCAUGAUGCCUCUGAUAGUGAGGUAGACCAAGAUGAUGUAGUUGAGUGGAAAGAUGGUGCUUCACCAUCUGAGAGUGGGCCUGGUUCCCAACAAAUCUCAGACUUUGAGGAUAAUACAUGUGAAAUGAAACCAGGAACCUGGUCUGAUGAGUCUUCCCAGAGUGAAGAUGCAAGGAGCAGUAAGCCAGCUGCCAAAAAAAAGGCUACAGUGCAAGAUGACACAGAGCAGUUAAAAUGGAAGAAUAGUUCCUAUGGAAAAGUUGAAGGGUUUUGGUCCAAGGACCAGUCACAGUGGGAAAAUGCAUCUGAGAAUGCAGAGCGCUUACCAAACCCACAGAUUGAGUGGCAGAAUAGCACAAUUGACAGUGAGGACGGGGAGCAGUUUGACAGCAUGACUGACGGAGUUGCUGAUCCCAUGCAUGGCAGCUUAACUGGAGUGAAGCUGAGCAGCCAGCAAGCCUGAGGCCCUGGCGUGCCAUAGCAUAUGCAUAUGGGCCGUGUUGCAUCCUGGACUUCUGCUCUCCUUCCAGUCUGACUGCAAAGCUGUCUUCUAACUGGCACUACCUUGCAAGGACUGGUCAGUCAGCAGGCUGUGGGGAUGUGUGACCACUGUAGUCUCAGUGGUUAUUUCCAAGUCUAUGAUAGAUGACUGGUUGAUCUUUGUUCAGACUCUUCUCUGGUAGACUCGGUGAUGAAGUGUGAAAAACCAGUAAGCUGGUAGCUCAUGAAUGCACACAGGGAGAAGUAGUUCCUUACCUACCUGCCUUCUCAGCAUUUCUUCCCCUCAGAUGUUUGGUUGGAUGUCCUGGGAAAGCCUUAUCCUGAUUCACAUAGUAGUGCAGGGCGGGCAUACACACUACCAGUCAAAUGUGUCUAGUAGACUUGGGAACAUGGACCGUUUUUUCAUGUAUCUUCUGAAUAGUUGAAAUGUAUAUUUGUACAGUCUUUUAGACCUAAAGUGAUGCUUAUGACACUGUUACUGUGUGCCCGUCAUAGAUUGGUUUUUAGUGUUGCCCUUGCUGUGUGAUAAAUGCUAUAUCUAGUUUACCUAGCAGAAGCUUGACCCUGCGAUAGUAUGGACCUUUGGACAGACUUAGUUUUUGCACAUAACCUUGUACAAUCUUGCAAAAGAGGCCAGCAACAUAAGAUAUAUAUCUGGACUCUCCUGUAUUAUAGAAUUUUUUUCUUGUUCUGAGUAUCCUUGACAUUACAAUUGUCAAAAAUGGUAUUUCAGAUCUCUUUCUGAGACCUUUUAAGCUAAAAUAACAUGCAAGAAUUGAUUUUACAGCUACUAAUUUUGACACCUUUUAGACCUGUAAGAGUGUUGUAUCAGAGCAACAAGCACAGUUGAGUGCUGCGUUUGGGAUAUUUAGUUUCCUCUUUAGUUGAGCACCACUGGGUGUAUUCAUUUAUACCAUCUAAUAUAUGACACACUGUUGUAGUCUGUAUGAUUUUGUGGUCUUUAUUUCUCUUUGUAUUCAUUUUAAGCAUCUAAAUAAAUUGCUGUAUUGUGCUUAAUGUAAAUAUUUGCUUUUAUUACACACG